UCCUUCUUAGCUCAGCUGGUUAGAGCAUCUGACUGUUAAUCAGAGGGUCGCUGGUUCAAGUCCAGCAGAGGGAG
rnacentral:tRNA from 1 species